rnacentral:rRNA from 1 species
CAGUCGUACGCUUCUUUUUCCCCGGAGCUUGCUCCACCGGAAAAAGAAGAGUGGCGAACGGGUGAGUAACACGUGGGUAACCUGCCCAUCAGAAGGGGAUAACACUUGGAAACAGGUGCUAAUACCGUAUAACAAUCGAAACCGCAUGGUUUUGAUUUGAAAGGCGCUUUCGGGUGUCGCUGAUGGAUGGACCCGCGGUGCAUUAGCUAGUUGGUGAGGUAACGGCUCACCAAGGCCACGAUGCAUAGCCGACCUGAGAGGGUGAUCGGCCACAUUGGGACUGAGACACGGCCCAAACUCCUACGGGAGGCAGCAGUAGGGAAUCUUCGGCAAUGGACGAAAGUCUGACCGAGCAACGCCGCGUGAGUGAAGAAGGUUUUCGGAUCGUAAAACUCUGUUGUUAGAGAAGAACAAGGAUGAGAGUAACUGUUCAUCCCUUGACGGUAUCUAACCAGAAAGCCACGGCUAACUACGUGCCAGCAGCCGCGGUAAUACGUAGGUGGCAAGCGUUGUCCGGAUUUAUUGGGCGUAAAGCGAGCGCAGGCGGUUUCUUAAGUCUGAUGUGAAAGCCCCCGGCUCAACCGGGGAGGGUCAUUGGAAACUGGGAGACUUGAGUGCAGAAGAGGAGAGUGGAAUUCCAUGUGUAGCGGUGAAAUGCGUAGAUAUAUGGAGGAACACCAGUGGCGAAGGCGGCUCUCUGGUCUGUAACUGACGCUGAGGCUCGAAAGCGUGGGGAGCAAACAGGAUUAGAUACCCUGGUAGUCCACGCCGUAAACGAUGAGUGCUAAGUGUUGGAGGGUUUCCGCCCUUCAGUGCUGCAGCUAACGCAUUAAGCACUCCGCCUGGGGAGUACGACCGCAAGGUUGAAACUCAAAGGAAUUGACGGGGGCCCGCACAAGCGGUGGAGCAUGUGGUUUAAUUCGAAGCAACGCGAAGAACCUUACCAGGUCUUGACAUCCUUUGACCACUCUAGAGAUAGAGCUUCCCCUUCGGGGGCAAAGUGACAGGUGGUGCAUGGUUGUCGUCAGCUCGUGUCGUGAGAUGUUGGGUUAAGUCCCGCAACGAGCGCAACCCUUAUUGUUAGUUGCCAUCAUUCAGUUGGGCACUCUAGCAAGACUGCCGGUGACAAACCGGAGGAAGGUGGGGAUGACGUCAAAUCAUCAUGCCCCUUAUGACCUGGGCUACACACGUGCUACAAUGGGAAGUACAACGAGUCGCGAAGUCGCGAGGCUAAGCUAAUCUCUUAAAGCUUCUCUCAGUUCGGAUUGUAGGCUGCAACUCGCCUACAUGAAGCCGGAAUCGCUAGUAAUCGCGGAUCAGCACGCCGCGGUGAAUACGUUCCCGGGCCUUGUACACACCGCCCGUCACACCACGAGAGUUUGUAACACCCGAAGUCGGUGA